rnacentral:lncRNA from 1 species
UUUAGAUCAAGAAACUGAGUUACUAUAAAUAAUAAGAAAAUGGAUAUAACUAAUAAGACAUUAGGCCUGCAUGAGAGACUCAAUCACUAUUUGAGUAAUUAGGGAAGACUAUCAAAACCAUUGAUAUCCCCAUUUUUUACUUUUUAAAAUGAAAUUAGUAUAAUUAGUUGUUGGUUUAAGAAUAACUAUAUCUAUGCUUAAUGGGACAUAAUUUAUAUGUUUUAAUUGCCAAAAAUGCUCUUUAUUUGUGAAUCUCACUCAUAAAUAGGCACAGGAGUGAUUUGGAGGAAGUUUCUUCUACAUGUGUCUGAAAUUUUACUUUUUAGGAAAAGCUAGAAGUGGAAGGAUCAGGCAGCUUAUUAUAAGAGCGAGUUAUCAUUACUUCCUUCACUACUUGACUCCUUACAGGAGGAGACAAAAGUGGGUCAAGCAAGACUGUGAAACCUGGAUAAGCCAUCAAAUUAAAAGUGCGUUCAAAAAUUAAUAAAAGAAAAACAACAAAACACCACGCUGCUACUGCCUGUUAUUCACAGGUGUGAGCCCCAUGUCUAAGACUUAGCUGCUAUGAAGGAAAUGCUAUGAAGGGAAAUUCUAUUCUCCUUUUUCUGGUUGAGUGUCCCACUGGCUUCACUUUGUAUCUCAGGUCGGUACUGUGAUACAGGCUCUUACUUCAGGAUAGGAUUUACUGUUUUACUUUAUUUUCCUUUCAGGAUGCCAUGCCAGAGUGCUUUUGAAAUUUUGUUAUUCUCUGCAUCAAUGAUUUGUCCUUUGAAAUAGAGAAAUAACAUUUGUCAUCUUGACAUUUGUAGAUCUAGACUGUGCCAUUUGUCCCUUCUUAGCCUUGUUUUAGGUAGUAAAUCAGGCAAGGCAUGGG